rnacentral:rRNA from 1 species
GACGAACGCUGGCGGCGUGCCUAAUACAUGCAAGUAGAACGCUGAAGGAGGAGCUUGCUUCUCUGGAUGAGUUGCGAACGGGUGAGUAACGCGUAGGUAACCUGCCUGUUAGCGGGGGAUAACUAUUGGAAACGAUAGCUAAUACCGCAUAAGAGUAGAUGUUGCAUGACAUUUACUUAAAAGUUGCAAUUGCAUCACUACCAGUUGCACCUGCGUUGUAUUAGCUAGUUGGUGAGGUAACGGCUCACCAAGGCAACGAUACAUAGCCGACCUGAGAGGGGGAUAGGCCACAUGGGGACUGAGCCAGGGCCAAGACUCCUACGGGAGGCAGCAGUAGGGAAUCUUCGGCAAUGGUCGGAAGUCUGACCGAGCAACGCCGAGUGAGUGAAGAAGGUUUUCGGAUCGUAAAGCUCUGUUGUAAGAGAAGAACCAGUGUGGGAGUGGAAAGUGCACGCUGUACGGGUAUCUUAACAGAAGGAGACGGUAAACUACGU